rnacentral:lncRNA from 1 species
AAUUCCCUCCUUCCCUGGGCACCUGUGGCCGGAAUUCCCUCCUUCCCUGGGCCAGGAGCAUCCAGGGGCUGCCCAGGGGGAUCCUCUGCAGCCUCUCCCUCCCAACCUCCUGCUCUUCCCUCUUGCAGGGGCCCGGCAGGAGCUGACCACCGUGUACGCCCAGGUGAACCCCUGCCAGAACGUCCCGAACGCGACAAGAGACAACCCGAGGGGGGAGAACUCCACAACCAUCUACGCCACGGUCAAGGCUCCAGCACAGAGCUCGUGUCCCUUUGCCCCUGCAGACGGACGACGAGAAGAUGGGCAGCACCGUGCUGGGGGGGCAGGAGGUGGAGGAGAAGAGCA